AGUCUGAAUAGGGCGUUGAGUAUUUGGUCGUAGACCCGAAACCAGGUGAUCUACCCUUGACCAGGUUGAAGUUCAGGUAACACUGAAUGGAGGACCGAACCGACUUACGUUGAAAAGUGAGCGGAUGAGUUGAGGGUAGCGGAGAAAUUCCAAUCGAACCUGGAGAUAGCUGGUUCUCUCCGAAAUAGCUUUAGGGCUAGCCUCAAGUGAUGAUUAUUGGAGGUAGAGCACUGUUUGGACGAGGGGCCCUUCUCGGGUUACCGAAUUCAGACAAACUCCGAAUGCCAAUCAAUUUAACUUGGGAGUCAGAACGCGGGUGAUAAGGUCCGUGUUCGAAAGGGAAACAGCCCAGACCACCAGCUAAGGUCCCAAAAUAUAUGUUAAGUGGAAAAGGAUGUGGCGUUGCCCAGACAACUAGUAUGUUGGCUUAGAAGCAGCCAUCAUUUAAAGAGUGCGUAAUAGCUCACUAGUCGAGUGACACUGCGCCGAAAAUGUACCGGGGCUAAACAUAUUACCGAAGCUGUGGAUUGUCCGUAGGACAAUGGUAGGAGAGCGUUCUAAGGGCGUUGAAGCAUGAUCGCAAGGACAUGUGGAGCGCUUAGAAGUGAGAAUGCCGGUGUGAGUAGCGAAAGACGGGUGAGAAUCCCGUCCACCGAUUGACUAAGGUUUCCAGAGGAAGGCUCGUCCGCUCUGGGUUAGUCGGGUCCUAAGCUGAGGCCGAUAGGCGUAGGCGAUGGAUAACAGGUUGAUAUUCCUGUACCACCAUAAUUCGUUUUAAGCGAUGGGGGGACGCAGUAGGAUAGGCGAAGCGUACGAUUGGAUUGUACGUCCAAGCAGUAAGACUGAGUGUUAGGCAAAUCCGGCACUCUUAAGGUCAAGCUGUGAUGGGGAGAGGAAAUUGUUUCCUCGAGUCGUUGAUUUCACACUGCCGAGAAAAGCCUCUAGCUAGAUUUAUGGUGCCCGUACCGCAAACCGACACAGGUAGUCAAGAUGAGAAUUCUAAGGUGAGCGAGCGAACUCUCGUUAAGGAACUCGGCAAAAUGACCCCGUAACUUCGGGAGAAGGGGUGCUCUUUAGGGUUAACGCCCAGGAGAGCCGCAGUGAAUAGGCCCAAGCGACUGUUUAUCAAAAACACAGGUCUCUGCUAAACCGUAAGGUGAUGUAUAGGGGCUGACGCCUGCCCGGUGCUGGAAGGUUAAGAGGAGUGGUUAGCUUCUGCGAAGCUACGAAUCGAAGCCCCAGUAAACGGCGGCCGUAACUAUAACGGUCCUAAGGUAGCGAAAUUCCUUGUCGGGUAAGUUCCGACCCGCACGAAAGGCGUAACGAUUUGGGCACUGUCUCAACGAGAGACUCGGUGAAAUCAUAGUACCUGUGAAGAUGCAGGUUACCCGCGACAGGACGGAAAGACCCCGUGGAGCUUUACUGUAGUCUGAUAUUGAAAUUCGGUACAGCUUGUACAGGAUAGGUAGGAGCCUUAGAUACGUGAGCGCUAGCUUACGUGGAGGCGCUGGUGGGAUACUACCCUCGCUGUAUUGGAUUUCUAACCCGCACCAUUUAUCAUGGUGGGAGACAGUGUCAGAUGGACAGUUUGACUGGGGCGGUCGCCUCCUAAAGAGUAACGGAGGCGCUCAAAGG
rnacentral:rRNA from 1 species